GAUUUUUCAAUGUAGUACCUGCGUUCAGGGUAGUUAGUCAAUUCGUUUUUAGUAUUCAAUAGGAUUCAGUUCGUGUAGGUUUCCAAAUUUCACUAGUUGUACAAAAAAACACAGAUUCAAAAAAGGAAUACAUUUUUUUUUCUUUUUAUUUUCUAUGGCUUUUACACAUCAUGGACUUCCCGGUUAAUAUAAUGUAUGCUAACCCCAUUUACACGCAAAAUUUUUUCGGAGUUCAUCAAAACCAAAUUUAUCUACAUCCAAAUUAUUUAAACAGCUCGGCUAGUGCUUUCGGUUCUUUUGGCGACAUAUAUAGGUUCGAGGAUGGCAGCGGAGAUGCGCGUGGUCCAUUGUUAUUGGGCAGAAGCAGCUACUGUGGAUUCGGCAGAGUUCAAGCUCAAGGGCUAGACCAGAACGAAACUUAAGAAGGCGGCGUUGGUGGACAUCGUGACGUGGGUAGACGCCACAGUGUGACCACAAUGGCAACGGCCACAACCAUGGCGGCAUCUUCAACCAUGAUAUUGAGCUCGAGGUCAAGUCGUUUCGGGUUAGCCGAAAUGAACAGAAAUGUGGUUCAGCCAUGGAUGGAUAUUGGUGAACAGCGACAAUAACAAUAUCAUCGACAACAGACUGGCAUAUCCAUGAGCUUCAGUAUGUUAUUGGCCAAGAGUUUGACAGAGGAAGCGACAAGUAUGAAUCCAAAUAUAUUACCGUCCGUUGAUGGUGUCCCGUUCAUUAUGCUCGGGCAAGAGCGAUUCGAACUGGAACCAGACACGAUCUUUGUGCUAUGCAAGCGUCUGAGUGUGACGAAAAUUGAUAUUCUCAUGUUCUUUAGUUCCGUGGGAAUAAUCGCUGUCGACCAUGCGAGUAAACCAAGGAUUUUUGUGUACAAAAAUAAGCAAAAUGGACGAUCAAAGGGUGAGGCGACCAUUAAAUAUAUAAGUCCGUUCAUGGCGGAAAUGGCCAUUAGAUGCCUGAAUGGCAGCAAAUUUAAGGGAGAAAUUAUAACGGUUUUACCGGCAUAUCUAUCAACGCGCAAGGGUCGUGCGAUAUAGAUAUCCUCGAGAGUUUGCUCCAUCGAACAAUCGGGAACACCAACAGGAUCGGCAGCAGCAGAAUCGUCAACGUCGACUCCGUAAAUGGAGACCGGCUCGUGACAAUUGGUAUUGCAUGUCCUGCCGCAACAGCAAUUUUGUUUAGCGCUCCAAUUGCAAUCGUUGCAAGGCCAGCAAAUCGGAGUAUGCAGCCGAACCCCUUUUCAGUGGUUCACCAUCUUUCAUGAGGGCGGCUCGCCGUUGGCGCAUUCAUAAGACCGACUGGGAAUGCUGCUACUGUUUCAAUAAGAAUUUCUGGUAUCGUCAGAGAUGUAAUCGUUUUCAUGCUCCCAAGGCAGUUGAUACGCCAAAACCCGUCACCCCACCCCGAUCGGACAAAUUGGGAAUUGAAGCUUGGCAGUGAUUAGGGAGGGUCCAAUACACUGAGUGUAUUCAAAAUUUACAAGUGUUAUAUGCAAGACAUAGUUAUCAAGUAUCAAUGCAGAUUGGCUACGGUUUGGCGUUCUCACAGGCAAGCCAAAUCCGUAUGCAUCAAGAAUGGAAAGAAUAUCCAAAUUGUGAAGUGAAUCCAUUUACAAUAAAUGAUUUCAUAUAUUCACACUAAUAACUUUCCAAACAGAAUAAAUGUAUAAAGGGAGUAUUACCUCUCAAGUUAGUAACUUGGACCUUGUGUAAAUAGUUAAACCUCCAAAUCAUAGAAACAUUUCAUAAAUUGCAGACUAAUGUGGCCGACAUGGCCAAGUUUCAAGGAUAGUUGCAGGUUGUGCAUUAAUUAGUGAAGUGAAAGUGCUUUAUAAUGUGGUCAAUGCCUCGCACAGCAGAGAUUUUGGUUUAAAUGAAGGAUGCCAAACAUUUAGUAGAGAUUCAUAAGUGUUCUAAGUUCUUCUGCACUUAUUAAUUUCUGAGAAUCAAUAUCACUUUGUUAACUGCAGUCAGUGGCCCUGUGGCCAACCACUUGAAUCUGUCCAACACAAACCGCUGGCAGCAUGAACCUUUCUUAUACCCCCCACUCCCCCCUUUUCGCUUCUUGGUAAACUUGCUCAGUUUGUUGUGUGAUUUAAUCAAAGUUUGCAGUAGGAGCCAAAUCUUGCCCUAGCUAGCGAGUUGUGCAUUUGCCUGGCACACCCGCACCUUCACUUGCAGAUGUGGCUGAAAAGGGAAAAGGGAAAGGGAAUGAGAGUUUGUAGCUGUUGUGAAUUUACUUUGAAUUUUCUUCCACACGGCCGAAGUUGGCAGCUGCUGCUGGAUGGACUUGGUCUUGAAAGUCGGCUCUUGUUCUCGCCUGCAGGAUAUUUGCGUAGCUGUACCUGCAGUUAGCCGCAGCCCUCCUGUCCGCAUCUCAGCUUUUUGUGUGUGUCUGUGUGUGUGUGCAACAGUGUCACACUUCAAUGCCUUCAACCCACCACUCCCUUCAUCGGUGCCAUCUGCUGGGGAUGCCGCUUUAAUUGCCAGCAGGAGAGUGAAAUGCAAUAAACACCAUUAGCCAGAACGACUGCGCUCCAUGACCGAGUCCAGGACCAGGACGAAGGUCUUACGUCUAUACCAAAGUGUAACAGAAGAAAGCCAGGUCAACCAUCCAGGUAGAAUGGGAGGCACAGGCACCGGCAAGACAACAAAAAGCAGCAACAAAAUGCGAAAGUAAAGCGAAAAUCAACUUAACUGAAUUGAAUGAAAAAGUUUUAAACUGCGAGUGCCAUAAACACUGAAUGCUGUUCAGUUCAAUAUCUUCUUGUCCAACAAUGAGAACAAACCAAAGCGGGGGGAGAUGGGAAUGCGAUGCAUUCAUGGGUGUAGCAAAGGAACUGGGGUCUGAAGACUUGGACUAAAUAACUUGUUUUCUGAUACCAAAGUUGAGCUAUUACUGAAGGUUCAUUGGUUAGCUGUCCUAGCACUCCUAGCAGUGUUACUCCUAGAAAGCCUGUAGGUCGUAAAAACCAUUCAGAAUAUCAAGUCUCAGAGAUGGAACUUGAGUUCAAAUCAAAUAUGUAUUUGACCCCAGAAAAGUGUCAACAGUUGGCUGAGAAGUUGCAUCUAACUGAUCGUCAGCUCAAGGCCUGGUUUUCAAACCGUCGUACAAAGGUUAGAAAACUUUCCAUGGCUCAGGAAGGACCCAUAAAAUAGGAUGCGUUUCAAAUCUCCGACAACGCCCGUGGCUAAAAAUGGCCGAGCAUAUAAGAUGCAGGUCAGAAAUCAGUUGGGGCCAUUUGAAACUCCGGUUUGCCUUCAAAUUCAACAAAUACAUACAUAUAUAGUUUUACAUGA